GAUUAACGCUGGCGGCGUGCCUAACACAUGCAAGUCGAACGAUGAAACUUAAAUGAUUUCUUCGGAAUGAACUUAAGUGGCUUAGUGGCGGACGGGUGAGUAACGCGUGAGUAACCUGCCUUACACAAGGGGAUAGCCGUUGGAAACGACGAAUAAUACCCUAUGAAACUAUCACUUCGCAUGAAGCGAUAGUCAAAGUGUUAGCGGUGUAAGAUGGACUUGCGUCUGAUUAGCUAGUUGGUGAGAAAAAAGCCCACCAAGGCAACGAUCAGUAGCCGGCUUGGGGGAGUGGUCGGCAAUAUUAGGACUGAGACACGGCCCAGACUCCUACGGGAGGGAGCAGUGGGGAAUUUUGCACAAUGGGGGAAACCCUGAUGCAGCGACGCCGCGUGAUUUAGAAGGCCUUCGGGUUGUAAAAAUCUUUUGUAUAGGAAGAAAAUGACAGUACUAUACGAAUAAGGUCCGGCUAAUUACGUG
rnacentral:rRNA from 1 species